rnacentral:rRNA from 1 species
CCUACGGGAGGCAGCAGUGGGGAAUUUUCCGCAAUGGGCGAAAGCCUGACGGAGCAAUACCGCGUGAGGGAGGAAGGCUCUUGGGUUGUAAACCUCUUUUUUCAGGGAAGAUAAUGACGGUACCUGAGGAAUAAGCAUCGGCUAACUCCGUGCCAGCAGCCGCGGUAAUACGGAGGAUGCAAGCGUUAUCCGGAAUGAUUGGGCGUAAAGCGUCCGCAGGUGGUUUUAAAAGUCUGUUGUUAAAGCGUGAGGCUUAACCUCAUAAGGGCAAUGGAAACUGUAAGACUAGAGUACGUUCGGGGCAAGGGGAAUUCCCAGUGUAGCGGUGAAAUGCGUAGAGAUUGGGAAGAACACCGGUGGCGAAAGCGCCUUGCUAGGCCGUAACUGACACUGAGGGACGAAAGCUAGGGGAGCGAAUGGGAUUAGAUACCCCAGUAGUCCUAGCCGUAAACGAUGGAUACUAGGCGUUGUCUGUAUCGACCCGGACAGUGCCGUAGCUAACGUGUUAAGUAUCCCGCCUGGGGAGUACGCACGCAAGUGUGAAACUUAAAUGAAUUGACGG